rnacentral:RNase_P_RNA from 1 species
CCACACGGUUAGGUCGUCGCGCGGGAAACCGCGAGGAAAGUCCGGGCUUCACAGGGCAGGAUAACGGAUAACGUCCGCCGAAGGUGACUUCCGGGAAAGUGCAACAGAGAUAUACCGCCCGACAUUUGUCGGGUAAGGGUGGAAAGGCGAGGUAAGAGCUCACCGAAUCCCUCGGCAACGGGGGAUUCCUGUAAACCCUAUCCGAAGCAACGCCCCCAAAGCGCCGCUAAUGUUGACCCGACAGGCGCAGGGGAUCAUGCGGCAUUCACCAAGUCGUUAAACGAUUGCAAAAUCGCUUCUCGGCUUGAUGAUUACUCAGCGGAGACGCGGAGUACAGAUAGAUGACGACCCACGACAAAACCCGGCUUAUAGACCGUAGUGGCGCA